rnacentral:lncRNA from 1 species
CUACCAUCAAAGCUGCUUAGCACAGUGCAGUCAGAACACCUGCUACAUAUUAUAGAAUGAAUGUUUCUACACAACUCUGACAGCAGAAAACUGAGGACUGUCCGCUCAUGGAAAACACUUUGGAAUCUGGAACCUGGAAACAUGGCAGAUUUAAGAGAUCCCGUGGAUCUCAUCCUGGAGGAGCUCAGAAAGCAGGUUAUUGCUGGAGUAAGAGCACCUGGAACCAUCAUGGAGGCCUGGAUGUUACUGACACCAGAAGAACAGAUAAGGGUGUUAUAUUAUGCUGCAGAAGAAGGGACAUCACAAACCAGAGAGAAGAGAUUUUCAGGGCAAGACCCAGAGCUCCUAGCCAAUUUAGGUAAGACAACAGACGUAUUUGUUUUAAAUAACAGAAUACUGAUAUAUAAUCAUAUAAUGUAUGUAUAUAAUGUAGAUAUAUGAUCGAUAUGAUCAUGAUGAAUGAUUGUCUCAUCAUGUUGUUUGAAUGUAUCUUUAUGAAUGUCUCCUUGAUGUGUUGUAUAGCUGAUGUCAGUCAUUUGUUAGUGUGCUUGAGC